rnacentral:rRNA from 1 species
GAUGAACGCUGGCGGCGUGCCUAAUACAUGCAAGUCGAGCGAACAGAUGAGGAGCUUGCUCCUCUGACGUUAGCGGCGGACGGGUGAGUAACACGUGGAUAACCUACCUAUAAGACUGGGAUAACUUCGGGAAACCGGAGCUAAUACCGGAUAAUAUAUUGAACCGCAUGGUUCAAUAGUGAAAGACGGUUUUGCUGUCACUUAUAGAUGGAUCCGCGCCGCAUUAGCUAGUUGGUAAGGUAACGGCUUACCAAGGCAACGAUGCGUAGCCGACCUGAGAGGGGAAUCGGCCCACCGGAAACGGGAAACGGGUCAGAAUCCCAAGGGGAGGCAGCGGGAGGAAACCUUCCGCAAUGGGGGAAAGCCUAACGGAGAAACCCCGGGGGGGGAAAAAAGGUUUUGGGACCGAAAACCCUUUUUUUUAGGAAAAAAAAAAUUGGAAAGAAACUUGGCCGGUUUGAACGGUCCCAAAUAGAAAAGCCCCGGCAAACUACGG